GCAUGGUCACGAGGUCUUGCACACAGGGCAAAGUUGGAUGGAAAUACCAGACUUUUGGACUUCACUGAGAAACUGGAAAAAGGCUGUGUUGGAGCAGUUGAAUCAGGGAAGAUGACCAAGGAUCUUGCGCUACUUAUUCAUGGGCCUAAGGUUACGAGGGAUCAGUACCUAAAUACAGAGGAGUUCAUCGAUGCUGUGGCUGAGGAGCUGAAAGCAAGAUUGUCUGCCAAAGCAAAGUUAUAAAUUCUAGGUCUCAAACCUGGCUAGGUGCUUUGUGAUAAUAAUUAGUUUCAAUUCAUACAUGGUAUAUACUUACAUAAUUUUCAGUUUCGGCUAUCUUUUGUCGAUUUUUAUCCAUAUUUUAGUUCUCUGUUUCAUUCUUGAUCAGAGAGAGGAAGUUAAAUGGGCCAUGGUUUUCACCGCACUUCGCUCAACUUUGACAAAUGAUAGUGUCUGAAGGAUGGAUAAAUUGUCUCAAUAAUGUCAAAUUGUAUAUUAUCAGGAACUAAUUUUCUUUCACUUACUACAUUAGUGCUAAUAUGGGACCAUCUAAUCCUCU
rnacentral:misc_RNA from 1 species